rnacentral:rRNA from 1 species
ACGGAGGGUGCAAGCGUUGUCCGGAUUUAUUGGGUUUAAAGGGUGCGUAGGCGGGUCUUUAAGUCAGUGGUGAAAGCCGACAGCUCAACUGUCGAACUGCCAUUGAUACUGGGGGCCUUGAAUUCAGUUGAGGUAUGCGGAAUUGAUGGUGUAGCGGUGAAAUGCAUAGAUACCAUCAGGAACACCGAUUGCGAAGGCAGCAUACUGGGCUUGAAUUGACGCUGAGGCACGAAAGCGUGGGGAUCGAACAGG